CCCCUUCCCGCAGCAUCGGUAUCGGUCGGGCGCGUCUCGGUCCAGAUGCAUACAUAGGCUGGCGGAGGGCAUCGUUUUCCUCCGGAUUCCCUUCCCACCGGGCUACUUCGUCACCAGAUCCGUCGUCCACUGACCCCAUCCUCUAUACAUACGGUCUGAUGAGUUGGUUUUGCUUGUGUUGUGAGAAGGCAUGUUGUGGUUAACAUCGAGUCAGGGUUCCUACCUUUGUAUUUGAAUCUGUGAGAUCUGGACCGUCAACCGCCAUGACCAUGAUCAACGCGUCCUCGGCCUCCCAGACGAGGAUGGAAUGAGCAGGGCAAGAGAAGAGGAGGGAGCAGGCCGACGCCCGACGGCGACCUGACCAUCCUCCUGGAUCUCACCGGCAACCCCCUGGCCUGGAGGCCGCCCGCCCGCCCGCCGUCAGUGCGGGGCUUGCGGCACCACUUCCUCGUGCUCCUCCUUAACAUCCAGGACCAGGACGACCACCGGGACCUCCAUGACGAUGACGAAGCCCCGCACAUGGUCGAGCUCGAUGGAACAACAGUGCCUCGGUGUGGUGCAGCCGAGUUGGGCCAACGACUACGUUAUGGUCCUCGUUAUG